UCCCCUAGUAACUGCGAGUGAAGCGGGAAAAGCUCAAAUUUAAAAUCUGGCGGUCUUUGGCCGUCCGAGUUGUAGUCUGGAGAAGUGCUUUCCGCGCUGGACCGUGUAUAAGUCUCUUGGAACAGAGCGUCAUAGAGGGUGAGAAUCCCGUCUUUGACACGGACUACCAGUGCUUUGUGAUGCGCUCUCAAAGAGUCGAGUUGUUUGGGAAUGCAGCUCAAAAUGGGUGGUGAAUUCCAUCUAAAGCUAAAUAUUGGCGAGAGACCGAUAGCGAACAAGUACCGUGAGGGAAAGAUGAAAAGCACUUUGGAAAGAGAGUUAAACAGUACGUGAAAUUGCUGAAAGGGAAACGCUUGAAGUCAGUCGCGUUGUCCGGAACUCAGCCUUGCUUUUGCUUGGUGCACUUUCCGGAUGACGGGUCAGCAUCGAUUUUGACCGUCGGAAAAGGGCUGGAGUAAUGUGGCACCUCCGGGUGUGUUAUAGACUCUGGUCGCAUACGACGGUUAGGAUCGAGGAACGCAGCGCGCCGCAAGGCAGGGGUUCGCCCACUUUCGCGCUUAGGAUGCUGGCAUAAUGGCUUUAAACGACCCGUCUUGAAACACGGACCAAGGAGUCUAACAUACCUGCGAGUGUUUGGGUGGAAAACCCGAGCGCGUAAUGAAAGUGAAAGUUGAGAUCCCUGUCGUGGGGAGCACCGACGCCCGGACCUGACGUUUUCUGACGGAUCCGCGGUAGAGCAUGUAUGUUGGGACCCGAAAGAUGGUGAACUAUGCCUGAAUAGGGUGAAGCCAGAGGAAACUCUGGUGGAGGCUCGUAGCGAUUCUGACGUGCAAAUCGAUCGUCAAAUUU
rnacentral:rRNA from 1 species